UGGCUCUAGACAUAUAUGCAACAUUGGAAAUUCAAAAUGAUUGUAUCAGUGGUUUUUAUAUUAUUGAGCCUAAACUGUUUAUUUUUGCCUACAACAAAUGCAGCACUUUCUGCAUCCCAAAUCCAAAACCUUAUCCAAGCUGGAUUGUUAGCUGGCUCAAGUGUACAAAAACUGAUCGGACAAAUAUCGACCUGCGGUAAAAUGUGUUGGCACAAUGAUUGGGCUCACCGAGAUGAUGUAGCCAACAAACUUAAUAUGUAUGACUGGCGCUGUUCAAGCAGCUACACAUGGGGAGGUCGAUGUUACUGCGUAGGCCCUCCACACUGUGGUUGUGGUGAAAACUGUUAUAAUGGCGAUUGGCAGAGACGUGAUAAUGAAGCAAAGGCAGCCGGAGUAUACAACACCCAACGUUGCUCGUUCGACAACAUGGAUGGUGGAAGAUGCUAUUGUUGGGGCAAGCGCUGUUUAUAAUUGACAUACUAUGUGGGGAUUUAUAAACAUUAGAGUCUUAUACUCAAUAAACUAGUAUGAAAUAUUUGUGCAAUUGUAUAGCAUA